GUGUGCAACCUGCCUUUAUCUGGGGGAUAGCCUUUCGAAAGGAAGAUUAAUACCCCAUAAUAUACUGAAUGGCAUCAUUCGGUAUUGAAAACUCCGGUGGAUAGAGAUGGGCACGCGCAAGAUUAGAUAGUUGGUGAGGUAACGGCUCACCAAGUCUGCGAUCUUUAGGGGGCCUGAGAGGGUGAUCCCCCACACUGGUACUGAGACACGGACCAGACUCCUACGGGAGGCAGCAGUGAGGAAUAUUGGACAAUGGGUGAGAGCCUGAUCCAGCCAUCCCGCGUGAAGGACGACGGCCCUAUGGGUUGUAAACUUCUUUUGUAUAGGGAUAAACCUUUCCACGUGUGGGAAGCUGAAGGUACUAUACGAAUAAGCACCGGCUAACUCCGUGCCAGCAGCCGCGGUAAUACGGAGGGUGCAAGCGUUAUCCGGAUUUAUUGGGUUUAAAGGGUCCGUAGGCGGAUCUGUAAGUCAGUGGUGAAAUCUCACAGCUUAACUGUGAAACUGCCAUUGAUACUGCAGGUCUUGAGUGUUAUUGAAGUAGCUGGAAUAAGUAGUGUAGCGGUGAAAUGCAUAGAUAUUACUUAGAACACCAAUUGCGAAGGCAGGUUACUAAGCAACAACUGACGCUGAUGGACGAAAGCGUGGGGAGCGAACAGGAUUAGAUACCCUGGUAGUCCACGCCGUAAACGAUGCUAACUCGUUUUUGGGCUUUCGGGUUCAGAGACUAAGCGAAAGUGAUAAGUUAGCCACCUGGGGAGUACGAACGCAAGUUUGAAACUCAAAGGAAUUGACGGGGGCCCGCACAAGCGGUGGAUUAUGUGGUUUAAUUCGAUGAUACGCGAGGAACCUUACCAAGGCUUAAAUGGGAAAUGACAGGUUUAGAAAUAGACUUUUCUUCGGACAUUUUUCAAGGUGCUGCAUGGUUGUCGUCAGCUCGUGCCGUGAGGUGUUAGGUUAAGUCCUGCAACGAGCGCAACCCCUGUCACUAGUUGCCAUCAUUAAGUUGGGGACUCUAGUGAGACUGCCUACGCAAGUAGAGAGGAAGGUGGGGAUGACGUCAAAUCAUCACGGCCCUUACGCCUUGGGCCACACACGUAAUACAAUGGCCGGUACAGAGGGCAGCUACACAGCGAUGUGAUGCAAAUCUCGAAAGCCGGUCUCAGUUCGGAUUGGAGUCUGCAACUCGACUCUAUGAAGCUGGAAUCGCUAGUAAUCGCGCAUCAGCCAUGGCGCGGUGAAUACGUU
rnacentral:rRNA from 1 species